rnacentral:rRNA from 1 species
UAGGGAAUCUUCCGCAAUGGGCGAAAGCCUGACGGAGCAACGCCGCGUGAGUGAUGAAGGUCUUCGGAUCGUAAAACUCUGUUAUUAGGGAAGAACAAAUGUGUAAGUAACUAUGCACGUCUUGACGGUACCUAAUCAGAAAGCCACGGCUAACUACGUGCCAGCAGCCGCGGUAAUACGUAGGUGGCAAGCGUUAUCCGGAAUUAUUGGGCGUAAAGCGCGCGUAGGCGGUUUUUUAAGUCUGAUGUGAAAGCCCACGGCUCAACCGUGGAGGGUCAUUGGAAACUGGAAAACUUGAGUGCAGAAGAGGAAAGUGGAAUUCCAUGUGUAGCGGUGAAAUGCGCAGAGAUAUGGAGCAACACCAGUGGCGAAGGCGACUUUCUGGUCUGUAACUGACGCUGAUGUGCGAAAGCGUGGGGAUCAAACAGG